GGUUUGGGAACGUUUCUAAUUGUCUUUCUUUCAAAUUUCACUUUGAAGACAUCACAAAAUUUAUAAUAAUGGUCAAAAAUGGCAAUAAUAAUGGCGAACAAGGCCAUUUUCUUAAAAAAGCAUGCGGGCGGGGAUGAGAAACUAAUAUACAGCAAAUAGUGGCCUAAAGACAAUUCGUGGUAUAUUAGCAAUCGUAUGAAUUUAAUACAAUCGUAUAUGAAUUUAAUGGGUUUUAUGUUUGCGAAGAGUUCUGCUGAAGCCAGUUUGAAGUUGCACUUGUUGCGGCUUGAAAUGCAGCCGUUGUAUCAAGACGUGAAAAUCUGUGAUUUGGCGUUGUAUACAAAGCGAGGACAAUGUCUAAAUUAUUCAUAUAUUGCAAUUAUUGAAUUCUUUUUAAUUAUUUAUUGUAUUUGUAGCCGUUGCUGUCCUAAAUUGUAAGGUGUCUAUUUAAAAAUCAGGGAACCAUGCA